GAGGAGCUGAUGAGUCAGCAGUGGCGGUGGCGUGGAAGCCAUGACCGCCACUAAACACUGCACCUGAACUGGCUGAGGUGGUAGCUGUUAAAGUCUGAAAGAAAAUAUAACUGUAAGCAGGUCACAGAAAUACAGGGCGAACAAAUAGUAAAGCGACAGGAUAAAGCGGAGGUGUGAGUCCAUCUGUCGUCACCGCAACAAAAUACCCGAGGAAAUGUGGAAAACCUUGUGCUGUCUCCUGCUUCAGAGGCACCAGCCCUAGGUCACGCUCAGCCUGGGCCUGUGGUGAGAUCCACCUCACAGCAGAAGUUUGUGUUGCUCUCUCACACUAACGGUUUGAGAAUUUGAUCCCUUCUGCUACCUAGAAGCUGGUUGCCCCUGAGGUCCCUCCUUCCUCUAGCAUACCACUCCUCAGAAUGUCCAGAGAUGACGCUGCAAGGACCCGUCUGUGACGAACUAGGGCACUGAGGAGAGCGUUCUCCAGGUUCCUUCCUCUUCCUGCGUUGCCAUUGUUACCGUGUGACAUUCCAGGGUAGGAGAGGACACCGAGAGUCAGGAGAGACAACAGCACACUCCGCCCAUUUCAAUAAAGAGAAAAGCAAUCUCGAGAAAGCAAACGACCCCUGCCAACCCUCGGUUGGAAUCUCAGGACUCUGACUGCGUAUGCUCUACCCAGUGGAAACGUUCGCCACAUGGGCUGGGGAGAUGACUGGCUUGGGUGAAGCACUUGCUACACAGCCCAAGGACCUGAAAUCAGAACCCCAGAACCCUUAGAAAGACUGGCGUGGCUCCCAGCACCCUACAGGAAAGUGGGAAGCAGCGACAAGAACAUUUCUUGGCAAACUGGGAAGGAGGAGGAGUCCCCAACUGGAACAAGGUGAGGGCCGACACCCAAGGUUGUUCUCCACCCUCCACCCAUGUGCUGUGGCAUGCACUAGUCUCUACUCACACCCACAAACAUAGGUCAUCAAACACAGGCUCGCAGUGUGGCGGGUGGGGAGAGGGAGAGAGAGGUGGGUUUUUUUAGUUUGGUUUGGUUUGGUUUGGUUUGGUUUGGUUUGGUUUGGUUUUUUAAAGAACUUGAGAACCUAUGGGGCUUAAUGUUUGAAGAAACCACUGAAAUAAAGUGCAAAGAAAAGCCAUACUAGAUGAAGAGAAAGGGGACAACAUUUGAAAUGUAAAUAAAGAAAAUAUAUAAUAAAAACAAAAAGAGUAAAGAAAUAGCUGAAGGGAAGAGAAGGAGCAACUGACCUGGGCACAUGCUUCCAGGGGGCUCUGCCUUGGAGAAGAAUGACCUGGGUUCCAUUUGGAACAUGUGGGGAGCUAGCUGCAUGGUGAAUCCCCUGAAUUUGAUCAUUACAUAAAAGCUACAGAAGAGAAGAAACGGUCCUGUACUUGAUGGAGUUCGUGGGCUGGAAGGUCUCUGUGCCCCACUCUCUGUUUGUUCAGAAAGAAGUGAGAAAAGUGCAUGCAUGCGCCAUGGCGGCAGUGGCAGGUCCUGAGAGAGCAGACUGUGGCACACAACAUCAGCUCAAUGUGCCUGUAGCUUUUCUGAAGCCUGAACAUUUUUCUAAGAUGAAGAGUGUAAAAGGAUAGGUAAGAACACACCUGUGGGGAUGGAGAGAUGACUCCGCAGUUUAAAAGCACUAACUGCUCUUCCAGAGGUCCUGAGUUCAAAUCCCAGCAACCACAUGGUGGCUCACAGCAAUCUGUAAUGGGAACUGGUAACCUCUUCUGGUGUGUCUGAAGACAGCGACAGAGUACUUAUGUGCAUAAAAUAAGUAAAUAAAUCUUUUUUUAAAAAAA
rnacentral:lncRNA from 1 species